rnacentral:rRNA from 1 species
UACGUAGGGGGCAAGCGUUGUCCGGAAUUAUUGGGCGUAAAGGGCGCGUAGGUGGUUGAGUAAGUCAGGUGUGAAAGCUCUGGGCUUAACCCAGGAAUUGCAUCUGAUACUGCUCGGCUUGAGUACGGUAGAGGAGGGUGGAAUUCCCAGUGUAGCGGUGAAAUGCGUAGAUAUUGGGAGGAACACCGGUGGCGAAGGCGGCCCUCUGGACCGAAACUGACACUGAAGCGCGAAAGCUAGGGGAGCAAACGGG